GUUAACCUCUUCCAGGAAUGAGCUCACAGACACACCCAGACAUAGGUUUAACCAGUUAUCUGGGCACCCUGUUGCCCAGCUAACCAUAAAAUUAACCAUCACAAGAUUGAAUUUACAUAUACACUGUGCAUUCAGUCAAAUUUUCUGACUAUAGCACAGAGACAGCAGCAAAGUCAAUGAAUUCAUCUAAAUAAUAAUGGAAACAUUCUUAGGUGCCUUUCACUUAAGCAAUUUAGAUGUAUAACCAGUCAAGCCAAUUAUAAUUCUUUUCCAUUUUAUCACCUAAAUGUCUGGUAAAAAUGUAAUUCAGUAAUCUAGGAUCCAAUGAUUGGCCUCAGGGAACAGAAUAAAAGAUACAAUGACAUCCAUAACCAUUGAAUAGACUUAGAAACUCUUGAAGGGUAAGUGGCAUUUCAAUUUUUAACUUUCAUUUUAAUUCUGUAGUAUUCAAAAUGGAAGACCAUGAUAACUUUCUGCAAGGAUCUUUACCAGGACUUUCAUAAUUUCUUUUUUUCCCCUCCCUUCCUAAUGGAGGUAUCUGUACUCCUGGUUCUCCUGGCCCUGGAUAAUUCUUGGCACUAUUGAAUCUCUUCUGACAGCAGAAAACGGUGAUGAGGAGGUUGAAUGACUCAAUGGCAAUUUAAUCUGGUCUUAUUUUAUUUGGCCUUGUGCAAGAAGAAACCUGAUGUGGCUUGGAAUUGUAAUGCCAGGAAUUACCUGAUUCCUGCAUAUUUCUCCCAUUUUUCUGCCUGGUGAAUGACUUCUAUGGGCAUUUAAAGCAUGUACAACAUGGUAAAUGUAGAUUUGUUGCUUCAGCCCCUGAACUGGGUAUCUUAUUUUAUUGCAUUUAAAAUUAAAGGAGGGAAAUAAUAGAUUUUAGAUUUUAUUUAUAGGGACAAGGCAUUUGAGUGUAUUCAUAUGAGUUGCUCUUUGAUGCAGUACUGUCUUGUUUUCCUUUCAGUCAGACUUCUGGAUUUAAGUGAAGGAAAAAAUAACAACCAAAAUAAAGGAAUUUCUAUAAAUAAAAUGUCAUAACUAUAAAGAUCAACAACCUAAAGAAUAGAAUUAAUAUGAUGUGAUUAGUCUGUAAAAAGGGAGUCCAAUGUUUAUAUCUGGCUAUGGAAGACCAGUUAUGAUUCAGAGAAGCUGAGACAUGGUAGGAGAAGGUAGAGUAAUGAUUAGCAGAGAAGAGCUGGACAUAAGCAUAGGCAAUAGAAGAAAUAGAAGGAGUUGGUGGUGCUAAUGUGGAAGAAAAUUAUUGUAGCAAUUUUUGCAUUGUGGCCCCAGUGGUCCAUAUAAGAACUUUGUUAUCUUGCAGGAGGGUCUUUAUGAAGAGGCCAUUGGUGAAGCAACAUAAGGAGAAGAGCCCCUGAGGUGACAGAAAGAGAAGAGAACCAGACCAUCUCAAUGUCCUAGUCAAAUCUAGCACCUUGGGGACCUCUCAAAUGGAUGAAUUCACAUGAAUGAUCAUUGGUAAAUCAACAGAGGAAUUACCCAGCUAAGCCCCAACCAAAUGAUAGCUGUAAGCAAAUGAUGUGGUCAUUGUGUUAAGUCACUAAGUACUGGAGGUAGUUUGUAAUACAGCAAAAGAUAACUGUUGGUAUGAUAAUUGACAAGUCAAGGAUGUCUCUUUCUUCUCUGGCAUAUUGUGGUGUUAAGUGGAGAAGAAGGCUUGAGACCACAGAAAAAUUGGGUCAUAUCCUCACUUUGUCAAUUUUUAUCUCUAUGGUGUUAUUUGCUAUUUCUGAGUUUCAGUCUUUUUAGUUUUAAAAUGAGACAGAUAUUUCUCCUCUCUCAAUAUAGUUAAGACAUUAUGUGUGUGAAGGUUUAGGGCUAUAUGAAGUACACACCAAACAGUAGUUCUACUUCAUAUCCUCCCUAUAGUUCCUUUUAUCUUGAGGGGACAUAUAGUUAUCUAAAGCCUUUUAUUUCCUAAAACUAGUCCUGUGACCUGCUAAAGGCAGUUUUGUCACAGGUCAAUGGACUUUGUGCAUGAGUAUAUUUGAUCAACAAUCACUAUGUCUAUAUGAAGAAGAGAUAAAUUAUCAAACCACAAGUAACAGAUUUUUUUUAACAACAAUGGCAGAUUUUAGGGGUCAUUACUGGAGUCCAUGCACAUUUGUUUCUUUGUCCCAGACUAUCUGUCCUUGCCCCUCUGGAACACCACUCUUGCAUGUUACAAUAACUUGGGUUCCCAAGGAAUGUUGAAGUUACAUUCAUCUUAUUUUAUUUCAGAAGACACAUACUAUAUUUCAGUUAGAUUUUCACCAAAAAAGCAUUCUUUCUCAAUUGUUUGUGAAAUUCAUUCAUUUAGGUAAAAACUAAACAUUUCAAGGCAACACUAGAUGAAAUUUGGCACUCAUUGAGCCUCUGCCUUAGUACCAGAAGGUGAUUUAGGAUUUUGGAAAGGAAGUCUUAUAUUGUUUGUGUAAUUUAUGUUAAAAUUUUGCAAACAUACAGAUUCCCAGCUCCCUGAGAUAAAACAAAGUGUGCACACGCAUACAUACACAUACACCAAAGGAUUAAGGGGAAAAGAAAUAACCUGCCUGGGCCUCAAUUUCCAAAUUGGGAAAAGAGAAAGUCAGGCUAGCUUUCUCAGACUGGAAGGUUUUCCAAGACUACUUCUAGCUCUGAGUGUAGUGGAAGUCUCACCUCUUAGUGCCUGCACUAGCCCUUCAUAGAGAAUAAGAUUAGAAACACAGGUUGCUCCCCAGCAAAACUUUAAUUGCAAAGCUCUAAUUACAAAAAGAAUCAAAAUACAUACUUAGGUUAUGUUUUUUUAAAUUGUAUUUUUAAUUGUGUUUUGUCUCCAUUUUCUUUUAAAAGAGAAACGAAAACUUCAAUUUGCCAAAUUGCUAUACAUGUUUCCUUGCUGGGUAGUUGCCCUAGCAAGUUAACCUAAAAUGAUUUUCUAAAAUGUAUUUUUAAUCAGAAAAUUUGAUCCCUGAAAUUUGUCUUAAACAUUUUUUUUUCUUCAAACCUCUUAUAGGACUCUGGAAUUUCCAUACCUUAGUGCCAAGAGCAUAGCAAAGAAAUCCAGCUCAGUUUAGUAAUUACUUGUGUUACUCUAGCUCAAAGUUGUUUUGCUCUUAAUGGCUUAGGAGAGCCAUUUGAAUACUUUGAUUCUUGUAAUAAAAGUUCUAAUGGGGAAAGUAGGUGAAUGCCCAUGUAAUGUUUAGCCUAUUAAAACAGUGAUAUUCAAAGCUUUUGCAGAUGAAAUUCUUACCAGGGACUAUGAAUAAGGACAGGUUAAUUGUAAGGAAAGCAAGAAAACAAUAAGAAAGUCAAAGUCAAUUGGGAGAGUCUUUUCCUUCUUCAAAAUAGGGCCCACAAUAUAGGGGAAUUUAUUUUUUCUCCCUUCUUAUUGGAAGAGGGAAGAUUCUCCCUAGUAAUCUGCUGAUUUCAUCCCAAGCAUAUUAGUUAGGCUUCCCCAGAGAAACAGAACCAAUAGGGGACACACACACACACACACACACACACACACACACACACAUACACAUACACACAUUAUAUAUGAAGAGAUUCAUUAAGAAGAAUUGGCUCACCCAAUUAUGGAGAUAUGGAAGUCCAGUGGACUGCAACCUGGAGACCCAGAAAGCUGGUGGUAUCAUUCAAUCCAAGUCCAAAGGCCUGAGAAAAAGGGAAGCCACUGGUGUAAGUCUCAGUCUGAUGGCAGACUCAGACUGCUCAUGCAGGCAGGUAGAAAAAAGGGACAGAGUCUCCCUUCCUUAUUUUCUUGUUCUAGUCAGCCCAUCAGUAUUGGGAAAGGCCAUCUGCUUUCCUGAGCCAAAUAAUUCAAAUGCUUACCUCAUUUAGAAACACAUGCACACACACACAACUAGAAGUAAUGUUUGAAAAAUAUCUGGAUGCUCCAUGGUCCAGUCAAGUUUACACAUAAAAUUAACCCUCAUACCAAGGCUUCUCAGACCAUGUUUGUUUAACUAUAGUUUCUCAAACUAUCUGUGGUGAACAAAAGUUGCCUCCUCCCCAACCACUGGGUACUGACGCUUGUGUGAAAUACAACCAAAUUGAACCACAAAUGUGGUACAUCCACACAAUGAAAUAUUAUUUAAACAUAAGAACAUAAGAAGUAUUGAUAGAUGCUACAACAUAGGUGAACCUACGAAGUAAAAGAAGCCAGACACAAAGGGCAUAUACUGUAUGAUUCCAUGUAUGUGAAAUGUCUGGAGUGAAUGCCCAUGUAAUGUGUAGCCUUUUAAAAUAUUCGGGCUGGGGAUGUGGCUCAAGUGGUAGCGCGCUUGCCUGGCAUGCACGGGGCGCUGGAUUCGAUCCUCAGCACCACAUAAAAAUAAAAAAUAAAGAUGUUGUGUCCACCGAAAACUAAAAAAUAAAUAUUAAAAACAAUUUCUCUCUCUCCCUCUCUCUUUAAAAAAAAAAAACAGUGAUAUUCAAAGCAAGAAUAUGUAGAGCAAGAAAGUUGAUAAGGGCUGGGGGUUAGAGUGCAAAUACUGAAGAGUGAAAAUUAAGUAGAGUCAGUUGUAUUCUGACUCUAGUAUUGCAGUAUGUAUAUACAUGGCUGUAUAACCAAUGUGAUCCUGCAAUCUGUACACGUGGAAAAAUGAGAAUUCAUACCCUAUUUGAAUCAAAUGUAUGAUAUGUCAAGAUCAUUGUAUUGUCUUGAGCAACUAAUAGAAAAAAGAAAAUUAAGUAGAAGUAAUGAAAUGUUUUAAAAUUGACUGUGGUUGUGGAUAAAUGUUAUUAAAUUAUAUAAUUUUAAUGUGUAAAUUGUAUGGUUAUUAUUUAAUACUAAGAAGAAAUGAGCUAUUAAACCAUGAAAAAAGUAUGUAGGAAACUUAAUGAUCAUUACCAAGUGAAAUAUUGCAAUCUGAAAAGGCUAUAGAACACAAAAUUCCAACUAUGUGACAUUCUAGAAAAGGCAAAACUGUGGAGACAGUAAAAACAUCAGUGGCUUUCAGGACUAGUGGGAAGGGAGAGAGGCAUGAAUAGUGGAGCACAGAAUUUUUAAGGC
rnacentral:lncRNA from 1 species